GUAGGGUGCAAGCGUUAUCCGGAUUUAUUGGGCGUAAAGGGCUCGUAGGCGGUUUCUUAAGUCAGUAGUCUAAGCCUGGAGCUUAACUCCAGUUCGCUACUGAAACUGAGUUACUUGAGUAUGGUAGAGGCAAGUGGAAUUUCUAGUGUAGCGGUGGAAUGCGUAGAUAUUAGAAGGAACACCAGUGGCGAAGGCGGCUUGCUGGGCCAUCACUGACGCUGAGACACGAAAGCGUGGGGAGCAAAUAGGAUUAGAUACCCUAGUAGUCCACGCCGUAAACGAUGGAUACUAAGUGUCGGAAUUAUUCGGUGCUGAAGUUAACACAUUAAGUAUCCCACCUGAGUAGUACGGUCGCAAGGCUG
rnacentral:rRNA from 1 species